CGCCCAGCGCCGGGCGGAGCGGGCGGCUGUAAACAAACCGGGCGGCGGGCGAUGGCGGCGGCCUUGGGUUGCGCUGCCGGGCUGUGAGUGCCCGUGUGCGCCGGGGCUGGCGGCUCCGGGGUGCUCCCCGGGCAGGGCUGCGGCGGUGCGGGGUCGGGGCUGGCGGCGCACAUGGAUGACAGCAAGGUGGUUGGAGGCAAGGUAAAGAAACCAGGCAAGCGAGGUCGUAAACCAGCCAAGAUAGACUUGAAGGCGAAACUUGAAAGAAGUCGUCAGAGUGCAAGAGAGUGCAGAGCCAGGAAGAAGCUGAGGUACCAGUACCUGGAAGAGCUGGUUUCGAGCAGAGAGCGAGCCAUCUGCGCUCUCAGAGAAGAGCUUGAGAUGUACAAGCAGUGGUGCAUGGUGAUGGACCAAGGGAAAAUCCCCUCUGAAAUAAAAGCCCUGCUAACUGGAGAGGAGCAAGGCAAAACACAGCAGAACUCAACAAAACUCACCAAGGCUGGGAAGACAGAAGCAAACAGCAGCAAUCCCUGGAUGUAGAAAACAUGCAGAGGAGUUAUGGUAUCCGUGACCAGAACAGCUCCACUCAGCACUAGUGAGUGUGUGCAGCUGGUUCUCUCUCACAAACAUUGAAGAAAGGAAAUGAGCCUAGAAGUGCUUCAUUUUCCCACUUGCCAUGGAAAUCUAAUGGUCAUCUAGAACUAUUUGCCCAGCUAAAGGGUGAAGAUAAAUCUACAUAAAUAAUGAAGCUAGUUCUUCUGGCAUCCCAUGAAGAGAUGAAGGAGAUUUGGCAUCAUAGUUCCAUUUGCUACUUUCCAAUAAAUUAUAAUCUCUAUAAUUAGCUAUAAAAUUACUGUUAAUGUAAGGACCAAAUGUUUGAGACUAGUCUAAAAAUGCAGAGAAAUCAGAGGAAAAGCUGAAAUAAGAACCCUAGUCCUCAUUAUGCUUAAGAGCUACAGCCUGAGUGACAGAUGAUUGUCUGAUGUAGAAAUACCUGUUGUAGGUAAGCAAGGCAGAACACCAGCUUGUGAGUGUCCUGCUCUUAGUGCUGCUGAGCGUUAAUUUCUGCGUAAGUUAUGUCAGUAACUGAAUUUCUUGUAUAAUUCUGUUGUGAAUGGGAAAACAGAAUUUGUAUGGGAAAACAGAAGAUUCUAAUCCGCAGUAAAAUCUGGGGUAUUGCAUACCAAAUAGUGCAUCAGUGAACUAAAAUUCAACUGAUGCUGUACCUAUGGAACGUAUAGAUCUGUAUAGGUGGAUAUAGAAGUAGAAUUUGUAGUGUCAGUCACAGCAAUUGCCUUAAGCAAUUUCUGCAAAGACUGUUGCUUGAUAUUAUUUAUACUGCUAUCUGUAUUUUCUUUAUCUUUACAUUUUAACUAGAAAAUGCUGUCGUCGUCAAGCUAAUGAUUUUCAGUAACACCUCAUUAAAAAAAAACCAAACCAAACCCAAACCCCUAAACAACUGACUUUGAGUUUCUUUUUUUCCUCCAUUAAAAGCACUUGGGAGGUAGAAGUUUUGCUUCCAUAACUAGUGCAAGGUUUCCCCUGCUUUUUUGUGUGUCUGCCUGUAACUCACAACUGUCCUGGUCAAUGCUACUAGCACUAAUCGCUGCUUCAAGCAAUUCUUCUAUAUGAUCUUUAUAUAUUAGGGUGAGUAAUGGUGACAUUUUUAACUACGCUGCAGCUGAUAGGUAUUCUCAUGAAAUAAAUCGGUGAGUAGAAGACUACAA